rnacentral:misc_RNA from 1 species
UUUCCGUAGGUGAACCUGCGGAAGGAUCAUUCCAGAUUUCAUGCUUUCACGGGUUGAUCUCCCACCCUUGAAUAUUUAUACCUUAGUUGCUGUGGCAGGCCGUGGAAACACCAUGGGCUCCGGCUUUUACGUUCCAGCCAGUUGAAACAAACUCUUUAUGUAUUGAUGUCUGAGUACUCUAUAAUCGUUAACACUUUCAACAACGGACCUCUUGAUUCUGACCUCGAUGAAGAACGCAGCAGAACGUAAGAACACACGUCUGAACUCCAUUCACCAUUU